CCUGCUUCCCACAGGCAUUGCAGAUGUGUAUUGUGUGUCAUACGAGUGUCAGUAGUAGGCAGUCAAGAGAGAGGCUAUGUCUAUGCUCAGCUCACUGUCCUGACCAAUGAAUAUUUGAAUGAUCAGUAGCCUAACAUU